CCUACGGGGUGCAGCAGUGGGGAAUAUUGGACAAUGGGCGAAAGCCUGAUCCAGCCAUGCCGCGUGUGUGAAGAAGGCCUUCGGGUUGUAAAGCACUUUCGGUGGGGAAGAAAGCCUUGGGGCUAAUACCCUCGAGGAAGGACAUCACCCACAGAAGAAGCACCGGCUAACUCCGUGCCAGCAGCCGCGGUAAUACGGAGGGUGCGAGCGUUAAUCGGAAUUACUGGGCGUAAAGCGCGCGUAGGCGGUCUGAUAAGCCGGUUGUGAAAGCCCCGGGCUCAACCUGGGAACGGCAUCCGGAACUGUCAGGCUAGAGUGCAGGAGAGGAAGGUAGAAUUCCCGGUGUAGCGGUGAAAUGCGUAGAGAUCGGGAGGAAUACCAGUGGCGAAGGCGGCCUUCUGGACUGACACUGACGCUGAGGUGCGAAAGCGUGGGUAGCAAACAGGAUUAGAUACCCGGGUAGUC
rnacentral:rRNA from 1 species